rnacentral:lncRNA from 1 species
CACGUCAGUUUCAUUCCAUUCCGAGUUGGCUUGUUUGGCAUUAUGUGCAAUGGAUAUAAUCAGUAGUACGGUCAAUGGAUAACGCCGGCCGAGUGGCUCAGUGAAAGGCCGAAGCAUCAUGCGGUAAACCAGCGGGGAAUUCGAAGUAAGCUAUCAAGGCUUUCAAGCCACAAUUCGUCUCAGCGCCAGACGAACGGCCCAAGGGGAUUCCGUCCCCGGGAACUACAAAAUCGUCUGGAUCCCGGACAACACCCAACGAGGAGUGCA